rnacentral:rRNA from 1 species
CGGUACAUCGGUGACAGGUGGUGGCAUGGUUGUCGUCAGCUCGUGUCGUGAGAUGUUGGGUUAAGUCCCGCAACGAGCGCAACCCCUAUUGUUAGUUGCCAUCAUUCAGUUGGGCACUCUAGCGAGACUGCCGGUAAUAAACCGGAGGAAGGUGGGAUGACGUCAAAUCAUCACUGCCCCUUAUGACCUGGGCUACACACGUGCUACGAAUGGUUGGUACAACGAGUUGCGAGUCGGUGACGGCGAGCUAAUCCCACAAAGCCGAUCGUAGUCCGGAUCGCAGUCUGCAACUCGACUGCGUGAAGUCGGAAUCGCUAGUAAUCGUGGAUCAGCAUGUCACGGUGAAUACGUUCCCGGGUCUU